UGUGAUGUGGCUCAGUUGGUAGAGUGCUUGCCUAGCAUGCAUACAUCCCUGGGUUCCAUGCCCAGCACCACAU
rnacentral:tRNA from 1 species